GACGUAGGGCGCGAGCGUUGUCCGGAUUUAUUGGGCGUAAAGGGCGCGUAGGCGGCCUGGCAAGUGGAUGGUGAAAUUCCUCGGCUUAACCGAGGAACUGCCAUCCAGACUGCUUGGCUUGAGACCGGGAGAGGUGAGUGGAAUUCCCAGUGUAGCGGUGAAAUGCGUAGAUAUUGGGAGGAACACCAGUGGCGAAGGCGGCUCACUGGACCGGUACUGACGCUGAGGCGCGAAAGCGUGGGGAGCAAACGGG
rnacentral:rRNA from 1 species